rnacentral:pre_miRNA from 1 species
AGUGUAAUUGCUGGGUUGUAUGGUAGUUGCACGCUUAGUUUUUUAAGAAACUGCCAAACUGUUUUCUAUAGUAGCUAUACCAUUUUCCAAUCCCACCAGCAAU